GGGCCAUCUGGUCGCUGGAUUCAAGGGAGAGUGGAGCCUGGCUGCAGGGAGGCUCCAGGCCAGGAUCUGUGCACUCAGUAGGGUGUUCUCGCUGCCCCACGGCCCCGCUUCUCUUGAACAAGACAGUCCUUUAAGAUGGCAUUAAGCUAGAACAACACAUUUUUUUGUACUUGGCGGAUAGCAUCGCUACUAUGUUUUCCAAUAAGUUUCUGGUUAUAAUGUAAAGCCUGUGUGAUUGCCUUUUUCGACACAGUCUAUCGUUAGCCAGUUUCACACUUACCUCACUCCCUCAGCUGCCGCCUUUACCGGAAGAGGUACAAGACGACAAGACCGCCAUCAAAUGUGAAGCCUCGACCCCCGCCUUGCUGCGGUUCCUUCGGCUAGACCGGCUGGACAGGGGGUCACCGCACAGAGCCAGCUACGAGGACAUCAGGGACGCCCACAACUCGACAGGCUCUCAGGACGGCCCCGGGGGCAACCCCAGCAGCAGCAGCAGCAGCAGCCAGGACUUGCUGCAGAAAGCCCCAAAGAAGAAGGGCAUCAAGUCCUCCAUCGGCCGUUUGUUUGGCAAGAAGGAGAAGGGCCGGCCUGGACACCCCGGCAAGGAGGUGCUAGGACCAGUGGCAGGCAAGAUCUUUACCGCUAGAACCACCUGGAAAGCCCCAGUGAACGCUGACAACUAGGAAAUGCAGAAAAUAAGGGCUGCUCCUAAGUUAAACUGGAAGAGCAGCAAGCACAGAUUGUAAAGAGGAAAACACACGAUGACCGACAACAGUGCUGACAGAAACAAGCAGGGAUGCGUUCACCCACAUCAAGAAAAUGUGCCAUUCGGAAGAGGAGCCCUUGGAGGGACAGUUGGAACCGGAAUGAAAACUUAGUCCAUGGUAGGCAGUGCCCACUCACACGGCCCGAGUGGAGUGGUGUCACUCACCGGGCUUUCUGCAUCCCCAGAGCUGCUGGCAGUAACAUCUGGGCGCUGAGGCCGGGCAACGUCCCCGAGUGAGCUAAGGCACCCCUGCUCUCCUUCCAGUGCUGCUGCGGGGCCCUCUGUGGGCGGCCACCCUCAUCCCCUGCUCUGCCACCCACUGGGGCCCGACUGUUCCCCUGGGAUCCUUUCAGCCCUUGAGCUUGUGUGUUCCCAGCCCUCUGCCACACCGGACUGGGAUGCAACUCAGGACUUGGGCUUGAGAUAUUAAGGAGACCGUGAAUCUGGAAGGACACAGCCCUGGGGUCCUCGAGUGACCACGUGAGAGAGCUGGAGAGCAAAGCCCCCUCGGGGAGGAAGCAGAGCUUUGAAACGUGCCCACACCCACCGCUGCCUCGGCACAAGUGCCUCUUCUUUGCCUCUCCUUGGCCUGAAACAGACCCCAGCUGCUACUGCUGCUCCGCAGGUGAUUGCUAAAGAUGCACCUCCUGCAAGAGCUAUUGUCCUGCUGCUCUGGGGCUGCCUAAGUGUGCUCAGGAGUGUCAGACAAGUGGGGCUGCCACGCCUGACGCUGGGGGAGGGCCUGAUGCUGGACUAGGGCCUGAUGCUGGGGGAGGACCUGAUGCUGGAGGAGGGCCUGAUGCUGGACUAUGUGCCUGAUGCUGGGGGAGGCCCUGAUGCUGGAGGAGGGCCUGAUGCUGGACUAUGGGCCUGAUGCUGGAGGAGGGCCUGAUGCUGGACUAUGGGCCUGAUGCUGGGGGAGGACCUGAUGCUGGAGGAGGGCCCUGAUGCUGGGGCAGGAACAUCUGAUGCUGGACUAGGGUCUGAUUCUGGGGGAGGCCCUGAUGCUGGACUGAGGCCUGAUGCUGGGGGAGGUCCUGAUCCUGGACUAGGGCCUGAUGCUGGAGGAGGGCCUGAUGCUGGGGAGGGCCUGAUGCUUGGGGAGGGUCUGAUGCUGGACUAUGGCCUGAUGCUUGGGGUAAAUAAACGUCUGAUGCUGGCGGGAAGGUGUGAUGAUGGUGGGCAGCCUGCUCCCAGAUGUACGAAGAGUUGUGAUUAUAAAUAUGAGAAAUCUUUUUUUCAUACUUUCCUGACCACCUUGCUAUGUUCUUUUUUUCUGAAGCAUAAUUCUGUGCAAUAUAGAUUUGAUUUCUGCCAUACAUCAACAUGAAUUAGCCAUAGGUGUACAAAUGUCCCCUCCCUCUUGAAUCUCCCUCCCACCUCCCUUUGCUACAUUCUUGUCUCUAU
ensembl:lncRNA